GACGAACGCUGGCGGCGUGCUUAACACAUGCAAGUCGAACGGAAAGGCCCUGCUUUUGUGGGGUGCUCGAGUGGCGAACGGGUGAGUAACACGUGAGUAACCUGCCCUUGACUUUGGGAUAACUUCAGGAAACUGGGGCUAAUACCGGCUAGGAGCUCCUGCUGCAUGGUGGGGGUUGGAAAGUUUCGGCGGUUGGGGAUGGACUCGCGGCUUAUCAGCUUGUUGGUGGGGUAGUGGCUUACCAAGGCUUUGACGGGUAGCCGGCCUGAGAGGUUGACCGGCCACAUUGGGACUGAGAUACGGCCCAGACUCCUACGGGAGGCAGCAGUGGGGAAUAUUGCACAAUGGGCGGAAGCCUGAUGCAGCAACGCCGCGUGCGGGAUGACGGCCUUCGGGUUGUAAACCGCUUUCGCCUGUGACGAAGCGUGAGUGACGGUAAUGGGUAAAGAAGCACCGGCUAACUACGUG
rnacentral:rRNA from 1 species